rnacentral:misc_RNA from 1 species
GAUGAAGAACGCAGCGAAAUGCGAUAAGUAAUGUGAAUUGCAGAAUUCAGUGAAUCAUCGAAUCUUUGAACGCAUCUUGCGCUCCUUGGUAUUCUGAGGAGCAUGCCUGUUUGAGUGUCAUUCAAUUCUCAACUACACUGACUUUGAAUUGGUGUGGCUUGGAUUUGGGGGGAAAAUUGUUGUGGGCUUUUUGUAUAGUCUGCUCCCCUGAAAUUGAUUAGCGGUACCUUUGUGGAACUGUCUACAGGUGUGAUAAUUAUCUACAUCUUAGACAUCUGCUGGAAUGCUGCUUUCUAAACCUUACUUGUAUUGACAAUCUUGACCUCAAAUCAGGUAGGACUACCCGCUGAACUUAAGCAUAUCAAUAAGCGGAGGA